CACGUAGGGCGCAAGCGUUGUCCGGAAUUAUUGGGCGUAAAGAGCUCGUAGGCGGUCUGUUGCGUCCGCUGUGAAAACUCGGGGCUUAACCCCGAGCCUGCAGUGGAUACGGGCAGACUAGAGGUAGGUAGGGGAGAAUGGAAUUCCCGGUGUAGCGGUGAAAUGCGCAGAUAUCGGGAGGAACACCGGUGGCGAAAGCGGCUCACUGGACCAUUACUGACGCUGAGGCACGAAAGCUAGGGGAGCAAACAGG
rnacentral:rRNA from 1 species